UGUCACUUCAUGUGUUAACUAAAAUGAGCA
rnacentral:piRNA from 1 species